GUCCUCGAUCUGCUGCGGGCAGAUGAAAUGGAUAUGGCUGUCGAAGCCGCCCGCGGUGACGAUCCGCCCCUCGCCCGCGAUCACCUCCGUGCCGGGGCCGAUGAUGAUAUCGACGCCCGGCUGGGUGUCGGGAUUUCCGGCCUUGCCAAGCCCGGCGAUAUGCCCGUCCCUGAGGCCGAUAUCGGCCUUGUAGAUCCCGGUCACGUCGACGAUCAGCGCAUUGGUGAUGACCGUGUCCACCGCGCCCUCGGCGCGGGAGCGCUGCGACUGGCCCAUGCCGUCGCGGAU
rnacentral:sRNA from 1 species